rnacentral:rRNA from 1 species
AGCGAACGCUGGCGGCAGGCCUAACACAUGCAAGUCGAACGAACUCUUCGGAGUUAGUGGCGGACGGGUGAGUAACACGUGGGAACGUGCCUUUAGGGUCGGAAUAACUCAGGAAAACUUGUGCUAAUACCGAAUGUGCCCUUAGGGGGAAAGAUUUAUCGCCUUUAGAGCGGCCCGCGUCUGAUUAGCUAGUUGGUGAGGUAAUGGCUCACCAAGACUACGAUCAGUAGCUGGUCUGAGAGGAUGACCAGCCACAUUGGGACUGAGACACGGCCCAAACUCCUACGGGAGGCAGCAGUGGGGAAUCUUGCGCAAUGGGCGAAAGCCUGACGCAGCCAUGCCGCGUGGAUGAUGAAGGUCUUAGGAUUGUAAAAUCCUUUCACCGGUGAAGAUAAUGACUGUAGCCGGAGAAGAAGCCCCGGCUAACUUCGUGCCAGCAGCCGCAGUAAUAC